rnacentral:lncRNA from 1 species
GUAUUUUAACUUCAUUUUGACCACAAAGUAUAAUUCUUACCAACGGAAUGAGUUGUGGCACUUUAGAAGACUAGAUUCUGACUACAAAACGACGAGAGUUGAGCAAAAAGUUUCUAUUGCAAUGAAUUGUUUACAUCGAUGUAUGGCACAGAAUGAAACCAUGCAAAUAAAAAGUUUCAUUACUUCAAUUUCUUUUGAAGUAGAAAAAUGUUUCCUUAGUCUAACUAGUGUUUCUUCUAACUCUGAACUGUACAGUGUCUAUCCUGGUUUACUACAACUAUACAAAAUUAUGUAACUAAAAAAAUGGGGACUGGUUUCCUUCUCACUUCCGCAAUCGAGAUGUGAGAUCGAUGAACAAAUCCUCGCUGCAGGGAAUAGUCACACCACCCAUUGGAUGGUCGAAGCCAAAUUCUUCCUCAGAUUGACUAAGCAAGUCUUGAAAUAAAGGUUGGCUCAAGAAUGAUAUCGGGAUCACAAAUCUCUUCUUCUGCAUCUCCCCAACAUACACAGCAAAAUGACCCUUGGGAAUAUCUCUAGUUGCAGAAGACUUCUUGAUCAUACGAAGAAUAGCCAUGAUCUCUUAGUUUUAGUAUAGGUGAGAAAAAAGGAAGGAUUGUAAGGUUACCAAAAAGCAGAGAAAGCUUUGAUGUUUGCUGAGUGUUGUGGUGGUAGAUACCUCAUUAGAUAUGUUUAUAUAGGAAAUGGCAACUCAUAUUGAUGUGUGUUGAAUAGGAAUGUGUGGGUACCAGCAGAAGACAAUGGCACUGUAGUAUCACAUGCUCUUGCCUUCCAAGUAUUGAAAACUAUGUGGUAUUAGUUAAACAACAAUAGGCCCCACCUUAUUUUGAAACAUGGAAAGAGCCAUUUGGAUUGGACAUCAGUACAAGACAAUGAUAUAUUAGCAAUCACAUGGUCCUGCCCUCCAGCUAGUUUGACAUGAUUAAUUACUUUGGCAUAUAUAAGUUCAAGUUCAAUCGGUCCUACAUAUAUUUUCCUAUAGGGAACAAAGGAUCUCUAAGAAUCAAAUCCACAUAUAUUGCUGGUAGCUUAUGAGGAUAUCUAGGAAUUAACCAUACCCCAGAUGCAAACUGUGUCUACUUAUAUAAAAAGGAUAAGAGAUAAAAAGUUGGCUUAUUAAAAUUCCGAGACAGUUGGUCAAAAUCAGAUGAUCAAAUAGAAACAGGGGGAAUAUUAUAUAUGCAAGAACAAUCCAUUGAUUAAUAGUUGGCUCCCUAAGUACAUUUGGUAACUAAUGUGAAUAUUACCAUAACCAACAAACACAAAGUAACAAAUACACCUAAAAAAGGCUUCUAAUCACAUAACCACCUUCUAGAAAGGGUGCAAUGAGAAAAUAGGCCUUCAAAAUAAAGCUAAUUACAAAUAAGCCUCUGAAUCAAACUGCUACAACUACGACCUUUUCUCCCUAUUUAUAAUAGAUCUAAUCUUUCCACGAUAUCCUUCUUAAUCUGUAACACAACUGUUCCAGUUUGAACAUUCAUGUGCUUGAAUGUAGUCCAGUUCCUAGCCUUCCAAGUAAAUAAUCUUGUUUGUUAUCUUUUACAAGUACAUUGGUUUCUUCAUAAACAAACAUAAAUAAGUUGGGAUCUUCCUCCAUAAAUAGCAUCCCAUCUCUAUAUCCCUAACACAACUAUUAGUACUUUUUUAGUAGCAUUAAGCUCUCAAAUUUCUUCAAGAAAACAUACAAAAAUGGCCAUCAGAAAAUCAAACAACUUAAUCACAAGCUGCAGUUUUAAAGCAAAAUUAUGAAUAGGUAUUCAAAUUUGGGUAUGCUGAGAUUUAUUUGCUAAUGAGUCCAACCAACGACCCGACCCCUAAGAGAAACAAUCAUUUAAAGUAAAUAAAUUAUAAGAUCAGAACAUAAGCAAGAUAAGUGAAAGAGACUAUGGGUCCUAGGGAACUUAAAAAGACACAUGGUGAUCUCUAAUGCUUUUAUGAUUGAAUGCAGUCUGGGAUAAUCUUGAAAAAAUAGGUGAAAGAAAUGACACUAAUUAACUUCAACAUGCACUAGAAAAAUUUAGCUCUUAUUCAGGUCAGGAACAAAUGGCAGGAAUUACCUUCUUUCGACUCCCCAUCGUGUGAAGUUGUGCACUCCCCUCAAGCUUGUACUUCAUUAUGACAAAUGCUAACUAGUUUCAUUAGAAACACCAGGUCGUGUGAGUUACUAAAAUAUCUGAUUGAGAUAAUAUCAGAAAGAGAACUAACCCUUCCAUGAACGUUGAUAACAUGACCUUUCAUCAGAGAAUACACCGUCACCACAACUUGGGGUGGAGGAUUUACCAAAUUGAUGGUAUGACUGCUGUGGAAACUCCAAGCAGAUAGCUUCUGCAAAAUGAUGCAGUCUCCUUACAGCUCUAGUUUCUGCACGAUGGAAACGAACAUUAAUUAGUUGCCCACAUUUCCUGUCAUCAUUGAUCAUCAAUACAAACAAGCACUCAAGGACAAAUUACCUGGCAUGAGUGGCACAUAACGAAAAGUCUUGAUACUUUUAUUUGCUGCUGCUGUUCUUGAAGACUAGCUUGUGGCAAAGAAUUUCUUGCCCGAGGAGCUGAAAUGACUCCUCCUACUCUUCUCCAUCAUUAUAAUCUCAUCUGUUUUACCUUGAUUUCCAGCAUGAAUCCAUUUAUGCGAGUUCCCAUCCCAUCCUAGAGGAGAGCAUAGCUUGUGGUAUCAAAAUAAUAAUUAAGAUUUUCUUCACUAUGAGAAUGUAUAUGUGACAAAUCAUCACCAUUAUAAUAGAAUUCAGAAGGAUCUGAACUAUUAACGUCACCCGAUCAAGUCCCCUACACUGUACAUAUCAUCUGUAGAACUAGCACUAAAAUUGAGAUGCUGAGAUUUAUAUUUGCUAAUGAGUCCAACCAAACAAUCCCUAAGAGGAACAAUUGCUUAAAGUAAGUGCAUUUUAAAGAAAUUUAUGAAAAACCAAGACUGAUCAUAUGGACUAUGCAAAGGCCAUAUAGACAUUAUCAAUCAUAAGUGUUGUGUUCCCACAAUCAGAAUAAACUUCUUAUCAACCUGUUGGGGGAACUUUGACACCCUCCAGACAGUUUUUAUCAAUUGUAUCAGUAACCAAUGAAUCGCCAACAAAAUGCAAGACACCAGAAGUGACAUUGAGUAUAGUAUCCAGAUUCUUAGGAUUCUCUGUUCCAGAACCACUCUGCAUCUCAUACUCGAGGAGCGGCCCGUUGGUUCACCAAAGCCCGACCCAGUGUCGCACAUUCUCCAAAAGGUAAAGGUUCUAUCAUCUUGUCCAUAUAGUCAAGGUACUCAACUGUAGUCUUUGGACGGAAGUCCCUCCAUUUUGUCCCAGAAUCUAAGGAACUUUGAAUAAACAUAAGCAAGAUAUAAUUUGAAAGAGACUCUGUGGCCUAAGAGACUUAGAAAGAGACAUAAUCUGAAAUGCUUUCAUGAUUAAUAAGAAUGCAAUCUAAGAUAAUUUUGAGAAGUGGAUGAAAGAAAUGAAGCUCAUUAACUAAAACAUGCACAAGAAAAUUCAGCUCUUAUCAACAAUUUACCUUCUUUUAACUCCCCAUCGCGUGUACUUGUGCAAUCCACUUGAAUUUGUAAUAUUCUAUUCCAGAUGUUAACAAAUUUCAAUUUAACACUUGGCCUGAAGAGAAAAUAUCAGGUCGUGUGAGUUACUAAAAUAUUUGAUUGAGAUAAUAUCAGAAAGAGAUCCCACCCUCUCAAGAAAUUUGAUAGCAUUACCUUUCAUUAGAGAACACAUCCUUACCACAUUUCGGGUGGAAGAUUGAGCACAUUGAUGGAAUGAGUGAGUGGAAGCUCCCAGCAGAUAGCUUCUGUAGAAUGAUGUAGUCCCCUUGCAGCUCUAGAUUCUGCACGAUGGAAAAGAACAUUAAUUAGUUGCUCAUAUUUUCUGUCAUAGUUGAUUAUUAACACAAAAAACACACUCGAGGAGAAAUUAUCAGGCAUAUAAGCAGAUCAUGAACAAUUUAAAUGUUGUUAUUUCCUGCUGCCUUUCUUGAAGACUCACUUGUGGCAAAGAACUUCUUCUUGUCUUGGUAAAAUGGAGGAGCUGAAUGGCUUCUUCUACUCUUUCUUCUUCCUUAUAAGCUCAUCUAUUUUACCUCGAUUUCCAGCAUCAAUCCAUUUGUGCGAGUCCCCAUAUACCCUAGAAGAGAGCAUAGCUCGUGGUGGCAAAUAAUUUUAAGAUUCUCUUCAUCAUGAGAAAGCAUAUGUGUCAAAUCAUAUCUAUCAUAAUAGAAUUCAGAAGGACCUGAACUAUAAACAUCCCAUGGAUCCAGUCCCCUAUACCGGCCAUGCCAGUUUGCCCAAUUACAAGUAAAACUGCAAAACAAAAAAAUUGAAGAACACCCGAAAAAAGAUACUAACAAACACAAACCGUCAAACAACCUAUCAGUUGAGGAACGCAUGCAGCCCUAUAGACUACGACAACCAUUCCAAGUUACGAACAUAAUCGUUGUCAGUCCAAUAUUUUGCAAAAUGAUUACCAUAUCAUUCUCUUCUCAGCAUCUGUCCAUCUCGUGAGACACCAGAUCCUUCAAAAGAAAGUACCAACUUCAGGUGAUGAAGCAAAAUAAUAAAUUGAGCAGAAUUUUAUACAUAUCUAAAUGCAUUUAGAUCAACGUCAAAGAAACUAAUAGAUACCAUUGUCAUCCACCUUAACAAUUCAGGUCCCAAUGUCAACAGCAACAGAUACCUGGUUGAAAAUGGAAACUGUGUUAAAGUUCAACUUAGGAGUACACAAAUUAUAAGAACAACGAACAUAAAAAGAGCAGUCCUACAAGGGGAGUAAAUCUCAUGGAGAAAACAAAGUGCUGUUAUAAGAAUAUUCAUUUGUUAAAAAAAAAUGCUUUGAUACUAGAAUCGAGCAUCAUACUAAGAGGAGAAGAAGUAUAUCAAUUUUCAUAUAAAGCAUAUCCCCUUGUAAUCAGAGGUAGCAAAAAUAGAAACACACGAAUCCAUUGAAGAGCCUCACUGAUCAGUGCCUUUUGUGCAAAUAGUCCAAGCUAUUAAAACUGCAUUAAAGCAUGACUUGCCAUAUUCUCAGCAGCCCACAUCUAUUGAUCCUCUAAACAUUAACAAAAUCAGAAAACAUAAAAAACGCCCACUCUCUUACAUGACACAAUUUACAACUUAUAAGAAACAAUUAAAAUCAGAAAGUCUAGAGCAUGUUCAUUUCAAAGAUGAAAAUAAGUCUAGACCAUGUAAAAGAAAAUGACCACUGAGGGUGUUCUGUCCAAUCGAGUGUCUUCAUUCAAAAUACUACAAAUCAUUUCUUAUAAUUAAACUACUUAUUUUUUAAGAAUUGUAACAGUGGGGCCUUCAACAAGAAAAACUCCACAUUUUCCCAUUCAAAGGCUUCAUAAUUCAGUUAUAAUUAAACCAAAAACAACAACAAGAGUAUCUAUCAUUAUUCAUGACUUCAUAAUUCAAUUAUAUAAAAAGGUUCACCUCUAUGUGACUAUCACUUUUAUCUUUGACAAUGAAAGGAAGGCCCGCAUCUUCAAAUUGCUGCACCAUAUCAGGAUCCACCUACGUAGCACAGGAUAAGUUUUUGCAUACGUCCCUUACUAAAGAAAUCACAUCCUAUGGUCUACAUAUAAUUAUUAAACCAGUCCACCUAGAUGUGCAAUAGUUACACCACAGUUCCAAAUUUAAAGGAAAAAAAGUGUUGAACCUCAUAUAUAUGAUGGUGCCUCUCAUCUGCAAAGCUCCAAUUGCCAAAUUUGAGAAAAGAUAUAAUUAAGCCAGUUGGUAAUAUCAAUGGGAAAAAUCCUCCAGAAUGGCUUCACAAACUUAUCAACAAGCAUGCCCAAUGUAUGCAAAAGCAGUCUAUUAAGAAUUUCAAGAAACCAGAGAGAAAAGGCAAAGAACCAUAUCAUUUUAAAAAAUACUUGGUCAGAAAUCAAAAAGUCAAUAAACAAAAGUGUAGAAAGACGACUUAUAACAUCUCUUUAUCCAUCAAUUUAGGGCUCAGUGUAAACACCGAAACCUGACAGUUAUCCUGAAAGUUAGAAUGCACCAACACUUACAUUCAAUUUGUUAAGGAAACUCAGAUGAAUUCCAAAUCCACUAGACAACAGCGGCAAGGAGAAGGAGAAACACAUGUGCAAAGCAGGUCAUUCUCACUGCAUGCAAAUGAACAAAAUCUAAGGAACUAGACAGGAAAUCCUUAAGUUAGAUGGCGUAUUGAAAACGAACCUUUCAAUAUCAACAAUUUUGAAGGAGACACUGCGAUGCGCAAGGGAGAUUCUUAGCAGAGACUCUAUCGGAGAAUGCAAGACCCUACUUGGACUUCAAGAUUAUACAUGCAGACCAAAAGAUCAAUCAGAUCAGAAUACAGUUUAGAAGUAAAGUAUGUAAAGCAAUAUCUUUUACUUGUUUGAUUUUGAGAAAACUAGAAGAACUUGGAAUGCAUUUGCUUCCUUUGAACUUCUAAGUUGUAAAAUACAUCACGAACAAUUACUGCAAAAAGAGAAACCCUAGAAAUCUCCUUUAAUAGCAGGCAGCAGUUAACUCAAUUAUCAAGUAGGCUUAUACAAAAUCACCUGCUAUACCAACAUCUUGUCUAUAAUCACCAAUUCCAAGGUACAAAACACUUGCCAUCCGGUUAACAAUGGCCAGAUAAGACUUCAAGGACCAGGUUAGUAGUUCUAUACCUAUCCUAGUGUCAACUACUUACUAUAACUCAAAAGAAUUUUACCUUCAAAACCUUACAAUAUCUAUUAGGCCUCCCAUGAGAUUUGGUAACAAUUCCAGAAAAGAAAUAUCAGAAAUAGAGCUCAGAACCAACUAGUCACCACAAGAUAUUCUUGAGAAACACAUCAAAAUAGCUUCAUCAGAUUAACACAAUCAGUAUCAGUGGUGCCAACUAUGAGAGUUAAAUACUGCACAUAACUAUGCUGAAUUGAUUGCAUAUCUACCAUGGAACAAAAAUGAACAAGUGACAUGUUUUUCUUUUUUUUGUGGCGAUUAGUCAAACCAAUCCUAGUGUCAACUACUUACUAUAACUCAAAAGAAUUUUACCUUUAAAACCUUACAAUAUCUAUUAGGCCUCCGAUGAGAUUUGGUAACAAUUCCAGCAAAGAAAUAUGUAGAUAUGGUACAACAAAUUAGGGGCAGGUGAUGACCAGCCCUUUUAACAUAUAGCAUGUCCUUGAAGUCAAUAGGUUCCUAUCCAGUUCAUAGCAGAAUGUCUACAGAAUCAAACAAUGUAAUCAGUUGAAACAAAAUCCAGUAAUCCUAAAAAGUGCAACAGUUCUCAAGUUUGAUCUAGUCCAUGGUCUGCAGUCAAAAACUAACAGAAACCAGAUGCAGUCCUCUGGUUACUUGUGCUCCCACUUCAUCCACUUAUCAAAGAAAUAUAAGAAUUUUGUCACUUCCUCAGAGCCUAUUCUAGCUUUUCCCUAAUCCCCUCGUUCUAAUUAAUGGUAUUUCGUAAAACUUUUGAAACAUUAGUGUAGGUGUUAAAUGUCAAAUGAAUUUUGUUACACCAAAGAAUAGAAAAGAUACUAACUCAGUAACUCCAACAUGAAGGAGUUAAGUUGAUUCAAUCUUCUGACAGAAAGGAUACAUAAAGAAGUACUCAAAUCAAAGUUAGGCUACAAUUUUCCGUUUCUAGACCAUGUAAAGGAAAGGGGCGGUGAGAGGGUUUUAAGUCUACAAUUGAGUGUCUUCAUUCAAAAUACUACAAAUCACAAACUUACUUAUAAUUAAACUACUUUUUUUUUAUAUAUAUACUUGCGCAGUGGGCCUUCAAGAACAAUUUCACGUCUUUUUUCAAUUCCAAUUUUCCAAGAGGGAGCAGGGGAAAUCAGGGAAAAACAAGUUCUUGAACAUCCUUAACAUGCAUUGAAAGGAUGACAACAUAACUUGCUUUUAAAAAAAGCCAACAAAUUCUUGAAAUUUUCUUGAAAAAGCCAACAAAUUCUUGAAAUUUUCUUAAAAGUUUCUUCAAUUCCAACAUGCAAAAUCGAGUUCAUUGGAAGAAUAUCAAGAUAAUGAGUAGAGUACCAAUAGAUAGAUAGAUCAAUUGAUUUAGGGUUAGGGUUUUGAUCAGACAUCGUCACUCGAACCAUCAAGAACACCAACAAGUUCAAUGAACUUUUCUUAAAAAUUAAACGCAAAAUAGAGUUGUUGAAUUCGAAUAUGAAGAAUGCCCAUGAAUCAUGAUAGAUUUCCCGAUGGCCGCCGGUAGCGUAAAAGUUCCGGCGGUCGAAGUAUUGAGUUCUAAAAUGGACACUAGGUUCUCCAUUUUAUAGUUUUAGAACCAGAUAAUACACGCGGCAGAAAAAUAGAACACGGAAAAAUAACUACAAAAUAUAUUACUUUUUUUGUAAACUAUUUUAUUCUAGUAAUUAUUUUUUAUAUUUUUUUGUAAUAGGAAGAAAUUAUUGAUUGAAUGUGAAAUUUGUUCCCUCCUUUCCAUAUUAAAUUAAUAUUUUUAUUUUUUUAAAAUUAAUUUAAUUAUUUAAUUUUCAAGAUAUUUAAAAUAGUUAUUUCAAUUUUAUCUUUUUUAUAUUGAAAGUAGUGGUUAAUUAAUAUUUAAUUAUUUUAAUUAUAAAUUUGAUAAUAAUUAGUACAAUUUACUUCUCCUUUUUCUUAAGAAGAGUAAUUUAAGCGUUUUUUUAAUCGAAAAAAAAAUUACUUUCAUUUAAAAAAAUUUAAAAUAUUUGUCAAAUAUUUAAUUUUUCAAACAAAAAUAUCUUUUUCUAUUAAAAAAAACAUAUUGAGUAUCCCAACAACAAUGUCAAAAAACACUACUAACCCAACUUUUCUUGUUUUCAUUUUUCUGCAAAUAAACUUCAAAAAUAAAUAAAAAUCUUGUCCAAUAAAAGUGUGUAGUAAUUUGUUUAUUGUCCUAAGUGUUUAGAUAAUCAAAAAGAUAUUAAUAAUGUUAUUUCAAAUUUUUUAAAGCGUGUGAAGUCGAUUAUGAGAAACAAUAGUAAAAAAAAGAAAGUUAAAAAAAUGAUACACAUACCAAAUAUCAGCCUAAGUCAAGUAGAAUCCCAUAAUGUUGAGUGUGUGAAACACAGCCAAAGAUAAUCACAAAAUUACAUGCAACACUUUGCAAAUGAACUAAAACGUUCAUAUUCUUUUUAUGUAUUUCUGCAUCAGUAUAAUGUUGUGUUUUUUUUUUUUUUGUAUUUGUCGAGAAAACGUGGAACAACACAAAAAUAUAUAAUGUAAAAGUAAUGGAAAUAAAAUGGAAAAAUAAUAACACUAAGAAUUUUACGUGAAAACCCUUUUAAAUAAGGGAAAAAUCACGGGUCAAAAGGAGCAACUGAUAUUACUAUAGUAAGAAAUUAUAAACUGUGUAGUCACGAAUAUAAUAAUCAAAGUGACUACUAUACACUCAAAAGGAACAACACUAUUUUGGUUUCCACCUUACUAAAAUAUCAAUUACACUCUAUUUUUUCUUCACAGAUUAUUUUUCUUGUAUAGUCUAUGGAAUACCUCACUUUGCUCUCAAAAUGAUUUUUUCUCAAUCACUUGGUGUGUUUUACAACUGAGCAAGAAUGCUAUAUUUAUAGAAGGAGAAAUCAUGUCUAUGUCACUAAUGACAUAGAUAAAUAUAGCAAAGUCAAAAAAGGGUUGCACAUCUUAUCAAUUCGUCAACCAUCAAAUCACAAAAUUUAAAUGUUGAAUAAUACAGAUUGAACAUGAAAGUCUCAUUUCAAAUACAAUUUCAAAGAAUACUCUGCAAAUGAACUAAAACAUUCAUAUUUUUAUGUAUUUCUGCAGCAGUAUAAUGUUAUGUUUUUUUUUGUUGUAUUGAGGUCUUGAGGAUAACGUAGACUUUAGCUCUUGAGAAGCUCCAAUUCCCCUGUUAUAAAAAAAUGAAAUCAUGCAAAGAAAUUUCUGAAUUCUCAAAAAUCAGUUGGCGGUCUGAAGACAGUAGAACAUGAAGUAUCACAUGGUUUUGCCUUCCAACUCAUUGCCAUAAUACUAUUAAUGCAAACUCUCAUGUGUCCACUUAUAUCAAAACUAUAACAAAAAACUAAUCAAUCAUAUAGAAGAUUCAACUGGUAGAGAGGCAAAAAGUUUCUAUUGCAAUGAAUCGAUUACAUUCAAUGAAUGGAAGUAAUAAAUUUCAUUACUUCAAUUUCUUUUGAAGUAAAAAAAUGUACACUAGUCUAGCUAGUGUUUCUUCUAACUCUCAACUGUACACAGUGGAGUUCCUGGCUUACCACAGCUAUACAAAAUUGUGUGACAAAAUAAAAAUGGGGACUAGUUUCCUUCUCACAUCUCAUACUGAUGUGAAUUGAAUAGGAAUUUGUGGGCACCAGCAGAAGACAAUAACACUCAAGUAUCACAUGCUCUUGCCUUCCAAAUAUUGAAAACAUUGUGGUAUUAGUUGAAGAACAAUAGGCCCUACCUUUUCUAAAAACUUGGAAAGAAGCAUUAUUCAUUACAUAAUUUCUAAGAAGUGAUGAGAAGUCAUAAACCUCUUGAUAUGUGAUGAAGAGCCAUUUGGAUUGGGCUGCACAUGGUCAUGCCUUCCAACUAGUUGACAUGAUUGAUUCUUUUAGCAUAUAUAAGUUCAAGUAAAAUAGGUCCUACACAUUUAUUUCCAACAAAGGAUCUCUAAGAAUCAAAUCCAUAAAUAUUACUGCUAGUUUAUAAUGAUUUCUAGGAAUAAAACAUACCCCAGAUGCAAACUUUGUAUCCACUUGUAUAAAAGCUAUACGAGAUAAGAAGUCAAAAAUAAGAAAGAUUUCACUGGUUGACAAUAGCACAUGAAGUAUCACAUUGUCUUGUUCCCCAACUCAUUGUCUAAUAUACAUGAUCUUAGCAAUCAAAUUGGUAAAUUUACUGCUCUUGAAUAGCAGCAGACCCCAGUGUUCUGACAAGAUAGCGAACAGACCAUCUGUAAAGAUCAAAUUGAUAAAUUUACAGCAAUAGCUGACAACUUGUAGGAUAACAUUCCCGAUUAGACUAACCUGUGUUAUUUCAAUAGAUUUUGAAAAGUGUUCUCAAAUAGUAGAUAACAGAAAUAUUUAUGGGCUUUCAACAUGUCUGUGUUUGCAAAUCUCCAUAAAUUUAUGAGUCGAUCAAAACCUUACUAUAUAUUGGCAGAAAUUUGAGUCCAUCCAUAUUCGAGAAAAGUAUAAAUAUGAUAUACACAUUUUUAAGAGUUAAUCAAUUUACAUCCAGUUCUAUUGAAUUCAGUCGAACUCAAUACUUUCACAUUGCUGCAGAAUGGCAGAUCUAGUACAUGUUGAGUUAUACUUCAUUGCAUGAUGGACACUACCAUGUUUAUUUUAACUUCAUUUUGAACCACUAAGUAUAAUUCUUACCAAUGGAAUGAGUUGUGGCACUUUAGAAGACUAGAUUCUGACUAAAAACGAGGAGAGUAGAGCAAAAAAAUUCUAUUGCAAUGAAUUUUUUACAUCGAUGCAUGGAAUAGAAGGAAACCAUGUAAGUAAAAAGUUUCAUUACUUCAAUUUCUUUUGAAGUAGAAAAAUGUGUCCUUAGUCUAACUAGUGUUUCUUCUAACUCUCAACUGUACGCAGUUUCUAUCCUGGCUUACUACAACUAUACAAAAUUGUGUAAUUAAAAAAAUGGGGACUGGUUUCCUUCUCACUUCCGCAAUAUAGAUGUGAGAUUGAUGAACAAAUCUUCGCUGCAGGGAAUAGUCACACCACCCAUUGGAUGGUCGAAGCCAAAUUCUUCCUCAGAUUGACUAAGCAAGUCUUGAAAUAAAGGUUCGCUCAAGAAUGAUAU